rnacentral:siRNA from 1 species
UAAGCCAUGCAUGUGUAAGUA